rnacentral:rRNA from 1 species
CGCCUCCUGCCACCACCAAUUAUAGGAGGUCCCGCCUGCCCUGUGACCAAGUGUUUAACGGCCGCGGUAUUUUAACCGUGCGAAAGUAGCGCAAGCAAUUGUCUUUUAAAUGGAGACCUGUAUGAAUGGCAUAACGAGGGCUUAACUGUCUCCUCUUUCCAGUCAAUGAAAUUGAUCUCUCCGUGCAGAAGCGGAGAUAAAAACAUAAGACGAGAAGACCCUAUGGAGCUUUAGACACAAAGACAGAUCAUGUUAAACACCCCCCAAUAAAGGCCUAAACUUAAUGAUCCCCUGUCCUAAUGUCUUCGGUUGGGGCGACCAUGGGGAAACACAAAUCCCCCAUGUGGAAUAGGAGGACAAUCCCAUAUUAUUUUCCUCUCCUCCCACAAGCAAGAGCCACAACUCUAGCUAACAGAACUUUUGACCUUAUAUGAUCCGGCGCACGCCGAUCAACGGACCAAGUUACCCUAGGGAUAACAGCGCAAUCCCCUUUUAGAGCCCAUAUCGACAAGGGGGUUUACGACCUCGAUGUUGGAUCAGGACAUCCUAAUGGUGCAGCCGCUAUUAAGGGUUCGUUUGUUCAACGAUUAAAGUCCU